GCCAGAUGCAGUGGAUUACACCUGUAAUCCCAGCGACUCAGGAGGCUGAGGCAGGAGAAUUGCAAGUUCAAAGCUAACCUCAGCAAUUUAGGGAGGCCCUAAGCAAUUUAGUGAGACCCUGUCUCAA
rnacentral:sRNA from 1 species